rnacentral:rRNA from 1 species
GCUUAACACAUGCAAGUCGAAUGCUGUCACCCCAUUAUGCUGGGUGGAUCAGUGGCGAACGGGUGAGUAACACGUGAGCAACCUGCCCCUGACUCUGGGAUAAGCGCUGGAAACGGCGUCUAAUACUGGAUAUGUGACGUGACCGCAUGGUCUGCGUUUGGAAAGAUUUUUCGGUUGGGGAUGGGCUCGCGGCCUAUCAGCUUGUUGGUGAGGUAAUGGCUCACCAAGGCGUCGACGGGUAGCCGGCCUGAGAGGGUGACCGGCCACACUGGGACUGAGACACGGCCCAGACUCCUACGGGAGGCAGCAGUGGGGAAUAUUGCACAAUGGGCGCAAGCCUGAUGCAGCAACGCCGCGUGAGGGAUGACGGCCUUCGGGUUGUAAACCUCUUUUAGCAGGGAAGAAGCGAAAGUGACGGUACCUGCAGAAAAAGCGCCGGCUAACUACGUGCCAGCAGCCGCGGUAAUACGUAGGGCGCAAGCGUUAUCCGGAAUUAUUGGGCGUAAAGAGCUCGUAGGCGGUUUGUCGCGUCUGCUGUGAAAUCCCGAGGCUCAACCUCGGGCCUGCAGUGGGUACGGGCAGACUAGAGUGCGGUAGGGGAGAUUGGAAUUCCUGGUGUAGCGGUGGAAUGCGCAGAUAUCAGGAGGAACACCGAUGGCGAAGGCAGAUCUCUGGGCCGUAACUGACGCUGAGGAGCGAAAGGGUGGGGAGCAAACAGGCUUAGAUACCCUGGUAGUCCACCCCGUAAACGUUGGGAACUAGUUGUGGGGUCCAUUCCACGGAUUCCGUGACGCAGCUAACGCAUUAAGUUCCCCGCCUGGGGAGUACGGCCGCAAGGCUAAAACUCAAAGGAAUUGACGGGGACCCGCACAAGCGGCGGAGCAUGCGGAUUAAUUCGAUGCAACGCGAAGAACCUUACCAAGGCUUGACAUAUACGAGAACGGGCCAGAAAUGGUCAACUCUUUGGACACUCGUAAACAGGUGGUGCAUGGUUGUCGUCAGCUCGUGUCGUGAGAUGUUGGGUUAAGUCCCGCAACGAGCGCAACCCUCGUUCUAUGUUGCCAGCACGUAAUGGUGGGAACUCAUGGGAUACUGCCGGGGUCAACUCGGAGGAAGGUGGGGAUGACGUCAAAUCAUCAUGCCCCUUAUGUCUUGGGCUUCACGCAUGCUACAAUGGCCGGUACAAAGGGCUGCAAUACCGUGAGGUGGAGCGAAUCCCAAAAAGCCGGUCCCAGUUCGGAUUGAGGUCUGCAACUCGACCUCAUGAAGUCGGAGUCGCUAGUAAUCGCAGAUCAGCAACGCUGCGGUGAAUACGUUCCCGGGUCUUGUACACACCGCCCGUCAAGUCAUGAAAGUCGGUAACACCUGAAGCCGGUGGCCUAACCUUUUUGGAGGGAGCCGUC